CUUAGCUCUGUCUGCUUGCUGCUCGGACAAGUGGGGGGCUCUGGAUCAAUUUCUGGAGCCAGGCGGACUUGCCAACAACAAUUUUCCUUUUCCCAGAGGGCCUCGGAGGCCUGGAGCAGCUUCCAAGGCCUUCCUCUCCGGCCUGCUCAGCGUGGGCUCCCUGACAGCGAGUUUGAAAAGGGUUAUAGAGAGGCAGAUAAAUGCCCGGCUUGUUGUAGCCUCCUGACAGCGCCGACCCCCGCGCCAGUGAGCUCAUGCCCGCCUCAUUACGCUUGGUGCCAGAUUUUUUCCAUUAGCAGGAGCACCCGGAGGAGAAUCCUGGCCCCCGUUUCGGUCGCGAGCCCCGCUGUGAUGCUGGCGCGUGCUAAGGACCGUCACCUCAAAGAAAAGGUAAGGAAGCGCUUGACUGUGGACAACAUACCGCCAUGCGUUCUCAGCGGUUCCAUGGGCCCCCAUGAUCCCCACGGUGAGAAUCAUCCCAGCAGGCGUGCAGGGCCGAUGAAUCGAUACAAUUUAAAGCAAAAUUUUUCCAGAACCGUUCACCCCUUCACACCCCUAAUAUAGAAGUCUUUCUGAGGGGAAGAAGUCUCCAGAAACGUGUCACUUUCCGAUGAGCAAACUUAGCUCACGUGUCUGUGUUCCUGUGGUGUUCCACCACCGGUGAUGAUGAGCAUAGCUAACAGGUUUACAUCCCUUUCUGUGCCAGGGCAAGGCGCCCUUCUAGGCGGGGCGGGUGUAGAUUUGCCCAGAGCUAACAUUCCAGGGGAGGGUGGGGAGACAGACAAUGAGCAAGUAAACAAAAGGGCCACUUGAGAUUCACAAGUCGGAGCUGCAGGGGAAAUAAACACAGUGACAGGCUGGGUCA
rnacentral:lncRNA from 1 species